rnacentral:rRNA from 1 species
GUGUCAGCAGCCGCGGUAAUACGUAGGGGGCAAGCGUUGUCCGGAAUUAUUGGGCGUAAAGGGUGCGUAGGCGGCCUUUUAAGUCAGAUGUGAAAGGUCACGGCUCAACCGUGGUAAGCAUUUGAAACUGGAAGGCUUGAGUUAAGGAGAGGAAAGUGGAAUUCCUAGUGUAGCGGUGAAAUGCGUAGAUAUUAGGAGGAAUACCAGUGGCGAAGGCGACUUUCUGGCCUUUAACUGACGCUGAGGCACGAAAGCGUGGGGAGCAAACAGGAUUAGAUACCCUGGUAGUCCACGCCGUAAACGAUGAGUGCUAGGUGUUGGAGGUAUACUCUUCAGUGCCGCAGCUAACGCAUUAAGCACUCCGCCUGGGGAGUACGUGCGCAAGCAUGAAACUUAAAGAAAUUGGCGG